GUAAGCAGUGGCUGCCCCAGCCUGCUGUUUCCGGCUUCUCUGUCUACCCAGGUCCCUCCCUGGAGCUCUGACGACACAGAGAAGAGAAAGUGGGCUGGAGGAGGAAGAGGAAGAAAGUGGGGGUCUCAGAAGCCCAAUGUCCCCCGAACAUUGGCAAGAGGAGGGGAAGAACGAAUGCAGCCUCUAUCUAUGGCUCCUUUUGGGAAGUAGGAAGGCAAGGAGCAAGUACUGUACUGGAAGCGAGAAGUCCAAGAUCAAGGUGCUGGCAGAGUUGGUUCCGCAGUCUCAGGGCUAUGAGAGAAUCCAUUCCAGGUCUUUCUCUUGGCUGUCUUCAC